GAUGAACGCUGGCGGCGUGCCUAAUACAUGCAAGUAGAACGCUGAAGGAAGGAGCUUGCUCUUUCCGGAUGAGUUGCGAACGGGUGAGUAACGCGUAGGUAACCUGCCUGGUAGCGGGGGAUAACUAUUGGAAACGAUAGCUAAUACCGCAUAACAGUAGAUGUUGCAUGAUAUCUACUUAAAAGGUGCAAUUGCACCACUACCAGAUGGACCUGCGUUGUAUUAGCUAGUUGGUGAGGUAACGGCUCACCAAGGCGACGAUACAUAGCCGACCUGAGAGGGUGAUCGGCCACACUGGGACUGAGACACGGCCCAGACUCCUACGGGAGGCAGCAGUAGGGAAUCUUCGGCAAUGGACGGAAGUCUGACCGAGCAACGCCGCGUGAGUGAAGAAGGUUUUCGGAUCAUAAAGCUCUGUUGUAAGAGAAGAACGAGUGUGAGAGUGGAAAGUUCACACUGUGACGGUAUCUUACCAGAAAGGGACGGCUAACUACGUG
rnacentral:rRNA from 1 species